UAGAUCAUCAUUUUCAACACAAGCCUCUCAUGCUUAAAGCUAGAAGACCCUCUCCUUGUCUAUUUUGUGUUUUUUUGCUGACUUUUCUGCCUCUGACACUGGCUGUCAUCUGAGCUCAACUUCAUUAAAGCAGGCUCUUGACAGGUUUCCGAAGUUUUUCCACUUUACACUAGCAGAUGGCGGCGCUGUACCUCAUUAUGCUUCUGUUGCUUCAGUUUGCACUCCUGGACAAAACGGUCUGCCUGGAAAAGACGGUAGGGAUGGAAAAGACGGGGCCAUUGGGCCUAAAGGAGAGAAAGGAGAUCCAGGAAUGGGUGCACAAGGGCCACCAGGUUCUGCAGGAGUACCUGGCCCACCUGGACCCA